rnacentral:rRNA from 1 species
CCUACGGGUGGCAGCAGUGAGGAAUAUUGGUUAAUGGGCGGAAGCCUGAACCAGCCAAGUAGCGUGCAGGAUGACGGCCCUACGGAUUGUAAACUGCUUUUAUACGGGAAUAAAGCCGCUUACGUGUGGGGCUUUGCAUGUACCGGAUGAAUAAGGACCGGCUAAUUCCGUGCCAGCAGCCGCGGUAAUACGGAAGGUCCGGGCGUUAUCCGGAUUUGUUGGGUUUAAAGGGUGCGUAGGCGGGCUUUUAAGGCAGCGGUAAAAAUGCGGGGCUCAACCCCGUACGGCCGUUGAAACUGGGGGCCGUGAGUGGGCGAGAAGAAGGCGGAAUGCGUGGUGUAGCGGUGAAAUGCAUAGAUAUCACGCAGAACCCAGAUUGCGAAGGCAGCCGUCCGGCGCCCUACUGACGCUGAGGCACGAAAGUGCGGGGAUCGAACAGGAUUAGAUACCCGGGUAGUC